rnacentral:rRNA from 1 species
ACGGAAGGUAGGGGAGGUGACGUCAAAUCAUCAUGCCCCUUAUGACCUGGGCUACACACGUGCUACAAUGGGCGGUACAAAGGGUCGCGAACCCGCGAGGGGGAGCCAAUCCCAAAAAGCCGCUCUCAGUUCGGAUUGCAGGCUGCAACUCGCCUGCAUGAAGCCGGAAUCGCUAGUAAUCGUGGAUCAGCAUGCCACGGUGAAUACGUUCCCGGGCCUU